UGGGGAAUAUUGGACAAUGGAGGAAACUCUGAUCCAGCAAUUCUGUGUGUGUGAAGAAGGUUUUAGGACUGUAAAACACUUUUAGUAGGGAAGAAAAAAAUGACGGUACCUACAGAAGAAGCAACGGCUAAAUACGUGCCAGCAGCCGCGGUAAUACGUAUGUUGCGAGCGUUAUCCGGAAUUAUUGGGCUUAAAGGGCAUCUAGGCGGUAAGACAAGUUGAAGGUGAAAACCUGUGGCUCAACCAUAGGCUUGCCUACAAAACUGUUGAACUAGAGUACUGGAAAGGUGGGUGGAACUACACGAGUAGAGGUGAAAUUCGUAGAUAUGUGUAGGAAUGCCGAUGAUGAAGAUAACUCACUGGACAGAAACUGACGCUGAAGCUCGAAGGUGCGGGUAUCGAACAGG
rnacentral:rRNA from 1 species